UACGGAGGGUGCGAGCGUUGUCCGGAAUCACUGGGCGUAAAGGGCGCGUAGGUGGCCGAGCAAGGUUGCGGUGAAAGCCCGGAGCUCAACUCCGGAACUGCCAUUGAAACUGUUUAGCUUGAGGAUGAGAGAGGUGAGUGGAAUUCCCAGUGUAGAGGUGAAAUUCGUAGAUAUUGGGAAGAACACCGGUGGCGAAGGCGGCUCACUGGCUCAUUACUGACGCUCAGGCGCGAUAGCGUGGGGAUCAAACAGG
rnacentral:rRNA from 1 species